UUUUAAUCGGUAAGUUAUAAAAAAAAAAAAAAAUGAUAAAAUAAUUCAAAUAUCGAGGUAAUUUCUUGAACGCAUAAAUUUUGCAAAGAAAUAUAAACAGAAAUACAAGAACAAAUAAUAAAAGAAGGACAGAGAUAGAUUAAAAAUUGUGAAAUUAGCAUCAUCUUUAGAAUGGCGUAGAUGAAACAUAAAUAUAGAUAAGAAGAAUAAAUAAUAGAAGAAUAGAGAUAGGAUAAGAAUUAACAGUCAACGCCAUCUUAAAUAUUCUAUUUUAUUUUCUAUCUUUAACGACAUGUCAAUAUUUCUAUCCUUCUCUUAUUAUUUGUUCUUUUUCUUUAUAUUUGUAUUUCAUUCGCAACACUCAAGAGAUGGCGCUUCUCAUAUUUCUAUCCCCUUUCCAUUAUUUUCUUUCUUUGUCUACACUUGCUUUGCAAAAUUUAUGCUCGAAAUUUAUGUUCGAAAGACAAUCCAAUAUCUGAUAACUUUUUAUUGUCUUUUUUUUUUAACUUAUUGAAUAAAAAUCUUAAUCAUAAUUUUUUCCAACUAAUUUUAUAGCUUCUAUGUUUCAGUUCGUUCGUGAACAAACAAAAUUCUUGAAAAAAAAAAAAAGAUUAACGAUGAAGGGAAAAUAUAGAUGUUAAAAAAGAUAUUAUGAUAAUAUAAAGAUAGUUAAGUUGCUACUUACGGAGAUUAAAAUAGUUAAAUGUCAUCAGGAGUUCCAUGUUUAUUUUGUCAAGAUUGAAUGUAGUAUAUACAACAUUUAUAAUAGUUAUUACAAUGUUAUGCCUGUAAAUGUGUAUUCGUUUUUUAUUUCGAUAUUGAAGAAAAAAAUUAGUAAUACUUACAAGCCGGCAUCGAACAGAUAGGUUCGAUAAACGCUAACGAUUAUCUAUCCCUAUCAAAACUAUGUAUAAUGUUGCAUGUUGUAAUUUUCUUUCUGUUGCUCAUUUUAUGAUCGAUCUAAUGAUUUCAUGUUCUCCUCUAAUCGAUUAAAAAAAAUAUGAAAAUCGAAUUUAUUUAUCAUCAUUGUGUGAAAAGAAAAGAUUGAAAGGAUUAAAACUUUGCAUUGCCAACUUUAAAAGUUUAAAGCUGCGGUGAGAAUAUUUUCCUUUUUUUUUUUUAAUCUAGAUCAAAUAAAAAAUGGGUCAAUUCUUUUACGAUUAUUACAUAAAAAAAUAGGGAGCAACAAGGAUUCCUUUUUUUUUUUUAUAAUUUUGAUGCGAACGUUCUGUUUUUUUUCUCUCUUUUUUUUUUUUUUUGUUCUUUUAUUAGAACCGUUAUUCGCUAUCACGCCAUAACAAGGUGAUAAUAGUAAAUAUGUAGUUGGAUAAUAUACUAAUAAUAGUAAUAGGAAUAAUAGCAAUAUAGUCGUAAUAUUAAUAUUGACGAUGAUAAUAAUAUCAUUCUUAAUAACCAUAAUAAGAAAUUAUUUCUACCAUAUAUAAUAUUCGUCCUAUAUAACAGUCUUUUUGGCUAACCUUCGAACUAUAAACAAUAAAACAGUUUCUUCCUUCUCGAUACCGCAUCGUUAUCAAUAUGAAAGUCCAUCAAAUAAGCCAACAAACAUUCGUAUUUCUCCACAUUCCAAUAUCCGCCUGGCAAAAACUGACAAAGAAAAAAAAAAAAAAAAAAAAAA